rnacentral:rRNA from 1 species
ACGAACGCUGGCGGCGUGCUUAACACAUGCAAGUCGAACGGUGAAGGGGCCUGCUUUUGUGGGCCCUGGAUGAGUGGCGAACGGGUGAGUAACACGUGAGUAACCUGCCCCCUUCUUCUGGAUAACCGCAUGAAGGUGUGGCUAAUACGGGAUAUUCUGGGUCUGUCGCAUGAUGGGUCUGGGAAAGAUUGCGCCUUUGGGUGUUUUUGGUGGGGGAUGGGCUCGCGGCCUAUCAGCUUGUUGGUGGGGUGAUGGCCUACCAAGGCGGUGACGGGUAGCCGGCCUGAGAGGGUGGACGGUCACACUGGGACUGAGACACGGCCCAGACUCCUACGGGAGGCAGCAGUGGGGAAUAUUGCACAAUGGGCGCAAGCCUGAUGCAGCGACGCCGCGUGAGGGAUGGAGGCCUUCGGGUUGUAAACCUCUUUCGCCAGUGAAGCAGGCCUGCUCCUUGUGGGUGGGUUGACGGUAGCUGGAUAAGAAGCGCCGGCUAACUACGUG